UACGUAGGUGGCAAGCGUUGUCCGGAAUUAUUGGGCGUAAAGCGCGCGCAGGUGGUUUCUUAAGUCUGAUGUGAAAGCCCACGGCUCAACCGUGGAGGGUCAUUGGAAACUGGGGAACUUGAGUGCAGGAGAGAAGAGUGGAAUUCCACGUGUAGCGGUGAAAUGCGUAGAGAUGUGGAGGAACACCAGUGGCGAAGGCGACUCUCUGGAACGGUACUGACGCUGAGACGCGAAAGCGUGGGGAGCGAACAGG
rnacentral:rRNA from 1 species